rnacentral:tRNA from 1 species
GGUUAUGGCUCAGUGGUAGAGUUUAUGCCUAGCACAUGUGAGAUACUAGGUUUGAUCCCUAGCACCA